UACGUAGGGGGCAAGCGUUAUCCGGAAUCACUGGGCGUAAAGGGUGCGUAGGCGGCCAAUAAAGUCAGAGGUGAAAGGCUACGGCUCAACCGUAGUAAGCCUUUGAAACUUAUUGGCUUGAGUGCAGGAGAGGAGAGUGGAAUUCCUAGUGUAGCGGUGAAAUGCGUAGAUAUUAGGAGGAACACCAGUGGCGAAGGCGACUCUCUGGACUGUAACUGACGCUGAGGCACGAAAGCGUGGGGAGCGAACAGG
rnacentral:rRNA from 1 species